rnacentral:siRNA from 1 species
ACAUAUUUGUGGUCUACGCUCACU